GGGUCAAUGAUGACAAACCGAUGUCAUGAAGAGAGGUGAUGUCAUAAGAUUCAUGCUCAAUAGGAUUAUACUGAGGCCC
ensembl:snoRNA